AUUGAACGCUGGCGGCAUGCCUAACACAUGCAAGUCGAACGGUAACAGGCCCUUCGGGGUGCUGACGAGUGGCGGAUGGGUGAGUAAUACUUAGGAAUCUACCCUGUAGUGGGGGACAACCCGGGGAAACUCGGGCUAAUACCGCAUACGCUCUACGGAGGAAAGCGGGGGACCGCAAGGCCUCGCGCUAUUGGAUGAGCCUAAGCCCGAUUAGCUAGUUGGUGGGGUAAUAGCCUACCAAGGCAAUGAUCGGUAGCUGGUCUGAGAGGACGACCAGCCACACUGGGACUGAGACGCGGCCCAGACUCCUACGGGAGCAGCAGUGGGGAAUAUUGGACAAUGGGCGAAAGCCUGAUCCAGCGAUGCCGCGUGUGUGAAGAAGGCCUGCGGGUUGUAAAGCACUUUCAGUAGGAAGAAAUAGCUUGAGCUAACACCGCCAGUUUUGACGUUACCUACAGAAGAAGCACCGGCUAACUCCGUG
rnacentral:rRNA from 1 species